AUGCCUCUUUGCAAUGCUGAAGUAGAGCAGGCUGCUGACGAAUUUCCAAAAAUCCAAACACUCAAUCUGGGCCAGAUUCUACAGCUGAAGCUUAAGAUAAUGAAACCAGGUAUGCUGUCCCAGGAGCUUAAGAAAGCUCUUUGUAUGCCUGAUGGUGCCCUGCCCCCAUGGCUUACCAGGAUGCAGUUCGUUGGUCCUCCACCCUCUUAUCCUUAUCUGAAGAUCUUAGGUUUAAAUGCCCCAAUCUCUCCUGGAGACAGUUUUGAUGACGGACCCGAUGAGGAAGAACCUCUUGAUCGCAGCAAACACUGGGUAGAUUCGGACGACGAAGAGGAUGAAGAGAAAUAA
rnacentral:rRNA from 1 species